GCCCUGAAGUCCAGCAGUGAGACACCACGGGAGGAGCAGCGCCGGGGCUGGCUGCUGCGGGUGCCCAUGCAUCUGCCCCGGCUGCCCGGGAAAACCAGGAUCUCGCACUUGCACAACCUCCCGCGGCCGCUCCUGCUUCCCCAGCCAAGGUCAGCGCACGCCCCUGCGCCCGUGGGUGCUUUCCCUCGCCUCCGUCGCCCUCCGGGCCCUGCACACAGCUUCCCACGCCGGGGUGGCAAGCGAAGCGCAGCGCGGCCCGCCAAACCUCGCCUUUGAACAGCCCCACGGCCCAGCGGUGGGAGCAGAGUUAAAAACGGUCAAACUGGGAGAGGGGACUGGGAGGAAGAGCCCGCGGUCCGUCACGCGGACCUGCCCCGGGAGCCUCUGCUCGGCCGCGGCAGGCAAGGGUAAGGCUAGCGGGCUGGCGCUAACGAGGAACGCCCUGGGUAACGACUGCCGCAGGAAUAGGCCAGCGCUACUCCCUUUUCCUCUCCGAAACAACAAAAGUGGCUGUUUCAUCCGACUCUCCGCCUCGGCUAUUCUUAGUGCCCCUCCUCGCGUGCCUGCAAAGGAAAAAGUUUCCCGGUUUCCUAAGAGCUGGGAAGGUUUCUGCUCCCACCCUGCCGCGCGGCGCCGGCCGGGCCCUGACCCGGCAAAGGCACCGGCGCGGUUUGCUUUAGCACGCACUGACCCCCCCGGGAGGUUCCUAAAUCCUGCGAGAGGCGCAGGYGGCAGCUGCAGGUGCCUCUGCGGGUGGAGAGGAAGGGAGAGCAAAGCCCAUCCCGACGCCGGGGCCGUGGGCUGCCCUGGCCCUGCAUCCCGCUUGGGAAAGGGAUGGGAAAGGGCCAGAGCCCGUGGAGAUGAGGAGUGGGGAGGCGAGGACKCGGCUCCCGGGAGCGACCUGGCCCUGCGGCAGCGGUGCUGCAGUGCUCAGGCCGGGAAGCCGGGAAGCGCUCUGAUCCCGCUGGGAAGCUGGGAGGGCAGCGACCUGGCCCCAGGGGGAGCAACUGGGCCCCACGGGGAAGCGAUCUGGCCCCACUAGGGAGGGAUCUGGCCCCACGGGGAAGCAAUCCAGCUGCACUGGAGAGCGAUCUGGCCCCACGGGCAGUGAUCGGGCCCCACGGGAAGCGAUCUGGCCCCACGGGGGAGCAAGCCCCGGGGGCGGCUCCCGGCUGGAGCCCCGGGCUCCCGGCCCCAGAGCCGGGGGGGGUCCGGUGCUGUCCCGGCCCCGGGCAGAGGCCGCAGAACCGCCGCCGCCGCCGCCGCCGCCGCCGCCGCGCCGCCCCCCC
rnacentral:lncRNA from 1 species